UCCUUUUUCAUUGGCGUCCAGAUGGGGCGGCGGCGGCGGCGGCGAGCUCGCACGGAUGGGCGGAUACAUCGGCCUCCAAGAGAAGCUCGCUCGGCGCGGUCAUAUUCUCACUGGCCAAUGGCGGCGACAUGACUGACCAGGUUUGUUUUCGGGACCGCGACCAUGGAUGAAUAAGAUCGACGAUGCACUGAUCAGUUCAACAGAGCCGUGUUCUUUUCAGUCGAUGUUGAAGCCUGCUCCAUGUUCUCCAAUCGCAUGGAGCUGUUUUUUGAAGCCCAUCAAUCACAUGCUAGGUUCCUGAUCGAUUUGUUUCACGGCAACAAUUCUCGUCCAUGUCAGAUGUUGUAUGUGGCACGAUAGGGUCGUACCUCGUCGUACAGACCAUUCCACGGUGAAAGUGUUCUUCAACUCUGAAAAAACUGUUCUCUUUGUUGAUCACAUGGAUUGAUCAAGAGAGUAUCAUAAUAUGGUCAACGGAAGCAGCAGCUAACAUAUGGAUCAUAUGGGCGAUCAAAGAGAAAAUCACUUCUCUCUGUAAAAAAAAAGAGAAUUACUCAAAAGUUUUGUAGUAAUAUAUUUUCCUUUGUUACCAUGUGUGGUCAAACUGAAUGUACUACCAUCUUCAAUGAAGGAUAUGUAAUACCUGUGCGUUGACUCAUUUCUCUAAGUAAUUUUUGUCUGUA